rnacentral:rRNA from 1 species
UGCCAGCCGCCGCGGUAAUACGGAGGGGGCUAGCGUUGCUCGGAAUUACUGGGCGUAAAGCGCGCGUAGGCGGUGAAUCUAGUCAGGCGUGAAAGCCCAGGGCUUAACCCUGGAAUUGCGUUUGAUACUGGUUUACUAGAAUUCGAGAGAGGGUAGUGGAAUUUCCAGUGUAGAGGUGAAAUUCGUAGAUAUUGGAAAGAACACCAGUGGCGAAGGCGGCUCACUGGCUCGAUACUGACGCUGAGGUACGAAAGUGUGGGGAGCAAACAGGAGUAGAUA